UACGUAGGGGGCAAGCGUUGUCCGGAUUUAUUGGGCGUAAAGAGCGUGUAGGCGGCCAGAUAGGUCCGUUGUGAAAACUCGAGGCUCAACCUCGAGACGCCGAUGGAAACCAUUUGGCUAGAGUCCGGAAGAGGAGAGUGGAAUUCCUGGUGUAGCGGUGAAAUGCGCAGAUAUCAGGAGGAACACCGGUGGCGAAGGCGGGUCUCUGGGCAACAACUGACGCUGAGGAGCGAAAGCGUGGGGAGCGAACAGG
rnacentral:rRNA from 1 species